UACGAGGGGUCCUAGCGUUGUUCGGAAUCAUUGGGCGUAAAGCGUGUGUAGGUGGCUAUUUAAGUCAGGUGUGAAAGCCCUGGGCUCAACCCAGGAAGUGCAUUUGAUACUGAGUAGCUUGAGUAUGGGAGAGGAUAGUGGAAUUCCUGGUGUAGUGGUGAAAUACGUAGAUAUCAGGAGGAACUCCGGUGGCGAAGGCGGCUAUCUGGCCCUAUACUGACACUGAGACACGAAAGCGUGGGGAUCAAACAGG
rnacentral:rRNA from 1 species